rnacentral:rRNA from 1 species
GGGGAAUCUUCCGCAAUGGGCGAAAGCCUGACGGAGCAACGCCGCGUGAGGGAGGAAGGUCUGUGGAUUGUAAACCUCUUUUGAUAGGGAAGAAGUUCUGACGGUACCUAUCGAAUCAGCAUCGGCUAACUCCGUGCCAGCAGCCGCGGUAAUACGGAGGAGGCAAGCGUUAUCCGGAAUUAUUGGGCUUAAAGCGUCCGUAGGUGGUUGUUCAAGUCUAUUGUCAAAGCCUGGGGCUUAACCCUGGAGAGGCGGUGGAAACUGGAUAACUAGAGUGCGGUAGGGGCAGAGGGAAUUCCCAGUGUAGCGGUGAAAUGCGUAGAUAUCUGGAAGAACACCCGUGGCGAAAGCGCUCUGCUGGGCCUGCACUGACACUCAUGGACGAAAGCUAGGGGAGCGAAAGGGAUUAGAUACCCCUGU